rnacentral:rRNA from 1 species
GAUGAACGCUGGCGGCGUGCCUAAUACAUACAAGUCGAGCGAACAGACGAGGAGCUUGCUCCUCUGACGUUAGCGGCGGACGGGUGAGUAACACGUGGAUAACCUACCUAUAAGACUGGGAUAACUUCGGGAAACCGGAGCUAAUACCGGAUAAUAUAUUGAACCGCAUGGUUCAAUAGUGAAAGACGGUUUUGCUGUCACUUAUAGAUGGAUCCGCGCCGCAUUAGCUAGUUGGUAAGGUAACGGCUUACCAAGGCAACGAUGCGUAGCCGACCUGAGAGGGUGAUCGGCCACACUGGAACUGAGACACGGUCCAGACUCCUACGGGAGGCAGCAGUAGGGAAUAUUCCGCAAAGGGCGAAAGCCUGACGGAGCAACGCCGCGUGAGUGAUGAAGGUCUUCGGAUCGUAAAACUCUGUUAUUAGGGAAGAACAAAUGUGUAAGUAACUAUGCACGUCUUGACGGUACCUAAUCAGAAAGCCACGGCUAACUACGUG